CUGAAACUACUGUAUUAUCCCAACCCCCAUUUAACCCAUCUGAAAACAUUAUCAGCUAUAACCAAUAAGCAAACCUACCAAUUAACUAAUUAAUCCCAUUAAACUAACUCCUAGUUAACACUAAAACUAAAUUUAAACCAAGGUGAGAUUCAUAUUAGACUCCAAACUUAACAGAACAAUAUUAUGAUUCAAAUCAUCAAACUCAACAAUAGUUUAAAACUCAGACUCAAAUUAUAUAAAAAAAAGACGAAAGAUUCAAUGAUAAAAACAACAAUUAGAUGGAACUACUAAGGUCAAAUUUUAAACCACGACUAACACAACUACAUUUGGAACAAAUUACGAUUUUGAAUUAACCCCAAAAACCAAACAAAUGAAUACUGAAUAUGAAAUUAAAUGAAAAUAAACAGAAAUGAUAAACUUACUGAUUUUGGAAUUUAGACACAGCCUGAUUUCGAAUUGGGUCUUCAAAUAAUGCUAUGUGUUUGCUCUUACCAAGAACAAACACAUAGCAUUAUUCAAAAACCCAUUCGACCACUAGCCGACUCUAGAAACUUGAACAUAUGAAGAUUUCUCAAAGCUCAACAAUUCAAAAUGAGAUCCAAAAUUCAGAGAUACCCGGUGGUAUUCGAAGGAUAUUAGUUGAUGAUUUAGGAAGAGAGAAGUGAGGGGAGUGUGUGGUGUAUUUUUUGGUGGAUUUCAAUGACUUUAGGGUUUUGGCCGAAUUUUUGAAUAAAUAUUCGAUGAGAUUAACAAUGAUUUGAGGAAAAUUAAUCAUGAAUUAGAGAGCUGGAUACAACGAGAGUAAGGGAUGUUAUUUUGGGACGGAGUGGCAGUGGCGCCGCCGUGGACGGUGGAGACGCCAGUGACAAAACCAAAUAUUCGAGCAGACAGGGCAUAAUUUGAGCUAUGUAAAUUCGGGGCUUGGGAAGAGUAGGUGGCGAGGAAUCCAUGGUGUAAUUUUCAGUCCAUUAGGAGACUUGCCGCCGACGGAAGUGAUUGUCGACCAGCGGCGUUAGGGUUGGGUUUCGGACAUUCAAAAGGGAAACUUGCAUCGUUUAUUGAGGGGGAAAGACCGCACCGCGUCUGAGGAGUUGGGGCCUGGGAAAUGGGUAAGAUUUUGGGGUGUUUGGGCUGGGAUUUUGCAUCAAAAAUGGCCCAAACAUGGCACCUUAUUAAGAUCCUCUUCCUUUUAUUUGUUUUCCUUUUUAUUUUGUCAUUUGUAUUUAUUCUAAUUUUAUAAAAUGCAAAAAAUUGAAAUAAAGUCUUAAUAUAUUUCAAAGUUAAACUAAUCAACUCCUAAAAUUGCUUGAGUCUAUUUUGUGACGACUUUACAAUUAAACAAUUACAAAUGCAAAAGUGAACUAUUUUUGUUAUUCUCUUCAUAUUUUGUUCUAAAAUAAAUUAAUCCCUAAUUAAUCCUAAAAUAUGAAAUUAGAUACGAAAUACAAAUAUUUUUUUUAUUUUUUAUAUGAAUAAAAAUGCACAGACAAAAUACAUCAAUUACCAGAAAAUAACACAAAAAUUCACAAAAAUUAUAAAACAAUUAAAAAAUCAUUUUGUUUGGAAUUUUUGGAAUAAUUCAUAUAUAUGACAAAAAUCACGUGCUCACAGCUGCCCUCUUUGCUCGAAAACAUGAAAUGUUUUUGGCCAAAGAUAAGAGAGCAAAUACGAGCGAUUUUUGCCCGUUUGAACAUUCUGUGUGAAGCAUUUUUGAAAAAGUUGACCGCACCCUGCUUCGGAGGCUGACUACAUAUCCUGGGUUAAACAGGAAUCAGGUCAAUGUAGUUUGGGAGUGUCUGGUAGCUAGGACCACCAGGAGCUUUGAUUUCACUGCGUUUGUUGCUGCUAGUGCUUGCUGACCUCCCAUAUUACACCAUGUCAAAAAUAAAAAGAAGCUAGGCUAAGCUAUGAACUAUGAAUUACAAAGGUCCUAUCUAAAUUCUUCAAACUUGUUCUUGUACUUCCUGUUGCCUUUUUGUCUUGUGUUUUCUUGUUGUCUUGUGUUCUCCUGGCGAAAUCCAUUGUUGCCGCUCCGAAUUGAAAACUGAGAUGUCGUUCCUUCCUUCAAACUGCUAAACUUGAAUGUAUUACGUUGUUGUCCAGGCGGGCUCCUGACUUCUGAACUUGAACUUGAAUGUAAUAUUAUGUUCUCCAGGCAGGAUCCUGACUUCACAAAGUAGACACAACAAAGAAAACUUUCUACCCCAGUUUGGAAACUGGGUACAUGUUACUGGAUGAGAAUUCAAAAACUAAAACUCGAAUUUUAAUACCUCUGUUCUUCGGGCGGGCUCCUGACUUCAAAACAUGAAUUGUAUUCUCCGUUCUCCAGGCGGGCUCCUGACUGCACAAAAUAGACACAACAAAUAAAACUUUUUUCCCCAGCUUGGAAACUCGGUACACGUUACCGGAUAUUAAUAAGAAUUAAAACUAAAGCCUGAAUUGUAAUACCUCUAUUCUCCAGGCGGGCUACUGACUUCAAAACUUGAAUGUUUUCCAUGCUCUCCAGGCGGGCUCCUGACUUAAUAAAAGACAAAGCGAAGAAUUUGAAAACUAAACUCUAAUUGUACUCCCUUUUUCUCGAGUGGGGCUCCUGAUUGCUGCGCUUGAAUAUAUUCCCAUGCUCUCCAGGCGGGCUCCUGACUAAAAAACAGACAAAAUAGAGAAUUUGUUAACUAAAACUAAAAUUAAACUCCCUCGUUCUCCAAACAGGCUCCUGUCUGUUGUACUUGAAUGUAUUUCCAUGCUCUCCAGGCGGGCUCCUGAGUUCUGAACUUGAAAGUAUUCCCAUGCUCUCCAAGAGGGCUCCUGACUUCAAAAAAGACAAAGAAAAGAAUUUGAAAACUUAAACAUAAAUUGUACUACUUGUUCUCCAGGCGGGCUCCUGACUGCUAUACUUGAAUGUAUUCCCAUACUCUCCAGACGGGCUCCUGACUUCUGAACUUGAAAGUGUUCCCAUGCUCUCCAGGCUGGAUCUUGACUUCAAAACAGAAAAAACAAACAUUUUGAAAACUAAAACUUAAAUUGUACUCCCUUAUUCUCCAGGUGGGCUCCUGACUGCUGCGCUUGAAUUUAUUCACUUGCUCUCCAGGCGGGCUCCUGAUUGCAAAACAGACAAAAUAGAGAAUUUGACAAUUAAAACUUAAAUUGUACUCCAUUGUUCUCUAGGAGGGCUCCUGACUGCUGCGCUUGAAAUGUAUUCCCUGCUCUUUAGGUGGGCUCCUGAAUGCUAAGCUUGAAAGUAUUCCCAUGCUAUCCAAGCGGGCUCCCGACUUCAACAAAACAUACAAAAAAAAGGAAAAUUUUCUGUCCCGGUUUGAUAAUUGGGCCCAUGGGUGAGUGUUACUGAAUGAUAUACCAACUAUUACGAAGAAUUUUAAAGCUAAGUCCUAUUAACUAGGGAGGUCCUGACAACUCCUAACAGUUAUGAACCUAAGUUAUAUCUUCUAGAGUAUUACUCUCACUACAUCAUAUUAUUUAUAAAGACUUUAAACUACAUCCUCUUAUCUAGGAAGGUCCUGAAAACUCCUACUUGAAUCCUAUUUUAGUUAUGCAAACCUUGAAACCUACUUAUAUUCCUUUGGGAUAUGUUUAUGCCGAAUAAUGUUACUCAUGAUUAUUUUGAACUUCAACUAAGCCACAUUUCCUAGAAGUUUACGGUCAAACCUGUUUUGGUGCUUGCUCUUUCCCCUGCGAGGCGUUUCCCCGAAACAAAUGAAAUUUCUGCCCCUGUUUUAAUCAAAGAAAAAUCUUGUCAAUUUAAGAUGCGAUGGUUGGUUUGUGGCCUUGAACUUUGCGGCGAUUUCUCCUUCACUUGCCAUGAAGACUGAUUUCCACUCAAAUACCUUGCUUGUUUAUGGACCAACCCCUUUUUGUUGCCCUCAUCACAUAAGUUGCGCAUGGCAUGAACCGACAUCUCCCCAACCUUUGUCUUUCACAUGAAUCCCACAGCACGUUCAUUGCCCCCACUCCGUGUAUAUUUUGUUCAUUAUUGACUUAUACGAUGGCCUUAGCCCUGAGGUCUCAUUUCCCUUCGAAAACCCCACUUGUUUCUUGCCUAAUCACUUCCUUUGUCAUCAUUUGAACAAAACAUACCUCUUCUGCAUUCGAACCGUAUACCUUAUGUUUGUUGCACUGCUCCUGAACUGACUUUUACCCACCCUUGUGCCUCACGUGAACCCCAAAGCAUGUUGAUUUCUACCCAUAGCAUGUUGUUCUUCUAAAUUGAAAUCCUGGACCUCUCGACCUUGAGGUUUAUUGCCCAUUUGCUUGCCAUGACAACUUUGAUCUCACCUUGAAAUACAUUGCUUGCUUAUUGACUAACCACCUUCUAUGUCAUCUUUUUCCCUGAAAAUACCUCCUCUCCAUUCAAAUCCAAUACCCUCUAUAUAUUGCAUAGCUCAUGAACUGACACCUACCACACGUUGUGUUUCACCAGGAUCCUCAAAUCUUGUUGAUUAUUACCAGUCCAAUGUUAUUGUUGUUUUUCUUGACUUGUGACACUUUGAUAUGCUAGCCAGAGCCCAUUUUGUGCAAAUUGGAAAGCUAGUGGCUAGAAGUCAUUUCUCUCUUGUUAUGACCAAAAGACUCAGAAAGGGGAAGUGAACAAAACAUAGGAACGGAGUGAAGGACAAAGGAAAGAGAUGAUUCCUAAAAAGUAUACUACGAAGUAGAAACCUAUCAGAUGUGGGUACCAACUCUAACGAUCACAACAUGCACUAAUAGAUAUUCUGUCAAUCAAGCCUGACGUUCAGCUCUCGCUGUAACCUUUCACUAUGAAAUUGGCCUUCAAUGCUCCGGUUAUCCAAUCUGAUUCACAUUCCUUAUUCGACUUGUAGUGCCCGAAGGGUUUUCACCAUCAAGCCUCUCUCAUGUUGUUCUUUUUUCUCAACUUACUAUUGCCUCAAGGGGCCCGUGAAGGUUUUCACCAAUAAGACUCUCAUUUUCUUUUCUCUCAGCUUACCAUCGCCUCAAAGUGCCCGCGAAGGUUUUCACCCAUAGGAUUUUCUCACUUUUAUUUUUUCUCAGCUUUCAUUGCCUUACGCUACCCGUGAGGGUUUUCAUCACUAAUGUUCUUUCAUUCUCAUAUUCCUUGUUAGGACCGAAGCAUUGCCCUGACAUGAAUCAUCUUUACCUCCUUGACUUGUCAUUUUUCAAAGACUAAUCGGAAGGUAUUUAUUUGGACCGUAAUGUGGGCUUUUGGAUGGGAUCAGAAAGAAAGGGCAUAAAGGCUCAAAUACAAUUCAGAAUGGGGUUAAAAACUACAACUUUCGGAAUCAUAUCUUUUGCUACAACCACAACUUCUGUCCCAGUUUCUUAUUUAGGGAUUUUUGGAUUUUUAUUUUGGUAUGACUGAACCUUAGAGAGGCUGCCUAUGUACCCUUUCGGGAUCAAGUCAAACGUAGUUCACGCCAUCGGAACUACUUUGUUAUUGUGAAUUUUCUUUAUCUUCUUUUCUUUUGUUUUAUGUUCUUCUUUUCUUUUUCAUUUAUCAUUUCCUUUUCUUUUCACUUUUCAUUUUUCUUCUUCUUUCCUUUUCUUUUUUUCUUUUCCUCACAUUUCAUUUUUCUUCUUCUUUUCUUUUCUUUUCCUUCCUUCCUUUUCUUUUCACUUGCUUAUCUUCCGCACUUGCAUUUCUGAAUUAUGCCAUUGAUUCCGAAAGAGGGUUUGUAAUUCACGUCAUAGAAUGUACUUUGUUUUGUGGUUUUUCUUUCUCUUUUUUCCUUUUCUGUUCUUCUUUUCUCCUUGUCUUUUCGGUUCUUUUCCUUUUUCCUUUCUUUCUUUUUCUUUUUCCCUUCUUUCUUUUCCUUCUUCUUUUGUUUUUCUUCUUUCUGUUUCUUCUUUUUCUUUUCUUUCUUUCUUUUCCUUUCUUUCCUUUUCUCUUUUUCUUUUCUUUCUUUCUUUCAUUUUCUUCUUUUCUUUUUUAUUUCUUCCUUCUUUUCCUUUUAUGUACUCAUCUUCGGCACUUGCAUUUCUUAUUUGUGCCAUUAAUUCCGAUAGAGGGGUAGGAAAAAAAACAAACAGGGCUCAAAAGGGGUAACAAUGGAUAAAGUGUUUAGAUAGCAGAACAAAAUGCUUUUGUCAUCCCAAUCCUCAGAAUAUGCCAAAUACAAACAAAUACAUUUAAACAAAUAAAAUAUUCAUAGUAUCUCUUGACCGCAUCGGAAUUUAUAGCCAUUUCUACAUAUUUUCCGUCCAUAUCUAUUGGACAACACUUUCACUCUCAUUACCGCAAACGACCUUUGUCAAUUUGGCAAACCUGCCUUUAGGGUUCCUUUAUGGUCUUCUGCCCCAGUUUCACAUGGUUAGGGCUUCAAACAAUAUCAAAACAUCCAAGUCUGUUCUUAUUUCCCUCGAGUGCUCCUAUCAUCUUCAAAAUGGUUUCACUGCUUCCCGGCUAACUUUCAAAGAUCAGACUGAGGAUUAUGCGUGCAUGUCAUGUCACUAGAACUAGCAUUAGACAAAAGACAAAACAAAAGGAUAGAAAAACAAAGAAAACACCUGGAAGUAACAAAAGAUCACAUGUUGAAUUAGACAAACGAGAAAACAGUUCGAAUAACAAAACAAGCAAAACAAACUAGAAUACAACCCUAGAAUGAAACUCAAACAAAUCUGGACAACACUAACAAACACCCAAGGACUAAACAAGUUAGACAAAAUGAAAGGAUAAGAGGGUUUGAUUACAAGACAAUAUCUGGAUUAUAACUCUACAAAUUACCCAAACACCAAAAAUGACAACAAAAAGGACCGCCAAAGCUCCUCCCUGACUGACGUAGGAAUGGAGCGUAUUUCCAAUUACCAAGCACGGCAUCUUAGCCACUGAGUUCUGCAUCACCAACACUAGGAACUUCACAAGUCUUCAUCACAUCGUCCUCAACAAGUUUUUUUGUGUCUCCAAGGCCUUUAGAGAAUUCUCACAUUCUUUUUCCAAAAUAAACCAUACCCACCAUGUCUAUCUCAUUAUACACAAGCGACAGGUUUUUGCUGGUGUCUGUUGCAUCCAGAUAUUUUACGACAAUGUCACCUGAGUCAAUAAGAUUAUGAAUUGCUUUCUUCAGCUUCCAACAUUUUUCCAUGUCAUGCCCCGAAGCAUCAGAGCUAUAUGCGCACUUCAGAAAAAAAUCAGAUUUCUUUGACAGAGGGUUUGGCACUUUUAUCUGAAUCAGCUUCAGCAUGUCCAAUUCCUUCAACUUCUAGAAUAAAUUGGCAUAUUAUUCUCCAAUAGGGGUGAGAGCCUUUUCUCGUUUCAUCAACCUUUCAUUCCUAAAUGCCUGAUUUGGCCUAAAACCUGACCUAGGCGGUUUCCGGUAUGCUCGUAGGGGUGGAUAUGCAUUUUGUAGAGCUGGGUACUUGGACAAUGAGGUACGUGUUUUGGAGUCCCAUGGAGAGAAGUAACAUUGGGAAAGGUCAUCCGGUGCACGAGGAUACUCACGGGUACAAUAUCGAGGUUGGAAAUAUUGAUCGGGAGAGCCCUUUGGAUCAUCGUUUCUGUUUCUGUUUCUCUUUUCUGAGCUUACCGAGAUGUCCUGAAUGUCUUUCGAGCAACUCAUGAUUUUACCUGACUUGAUUCCCUCUUCUACUAGCUCCCCCAUUUUUAACACAUCUUUGAAAGGCUUUCCCAAGGCUGGGAUCAAAUAACUGAAGUAGGUUGGCCCUUAGUCUUGUAUGAAAAGUUCAACCAUCUCUUCUUCACUAAUCGGGGUAUUGAUUCGAUCAGCUUGCUCCCUCCAUCUGAGCCCAAACUCUAUAAAGCUUUCCUUUGGCUUCUUAUCCAUUAUAGAUAGGGAGGAGCGAUCCAGGAUAGCGCCUGAUUUGUAUUGAAUGUAUCGAACAAAAUCUCGAGCCAUGUCAUCCCAAGUAUGCGGCUUAAUAACACUCUGAUGAGUAUGCCAUUCCAAAGAUGCCCCGGUCAGGCUCUCACAAAAAUAUGGCAUUAGCAGUUCAUCUUUCUCGCCAACAUUUCUCAUUUCCUCGCAAUAACUCCUCAGAUGUGCUACUAGAUCUCCAAACCCAUCAUACAAUCUGAAUUUUGGUAAUUUAAACCCCAUGGGUAGGCAAAUGUCAGGAGACACGGACGGUUCUUUCAGCUUCCUGGGUUCCCUUUCAGUCCCUUCUCUUUCUAUGAACCUUUUUAUUUCAAUACGAGGCUUAUCUUACGGGCCUUGCUUGUGCAAGUUGGGAACCUUAUGAGUAACCUCGGUGGGGUAGUAUUGGGCAUCAUGAGCUCUGGGUAUGUGUUCUUUGUCGAGAAUAAUGGAUGUGACCGGAGGACAUUUUUGUGAAAAGAUAGUUGGAUAAUGAGUGAUGGGGCUACCAUAGUGGUUGGGAAAGCUGUUAUAAGUGGGUAGAUAUGGAGAGUAUGGAGUAUCAUCCGGUAUUGUGUUCGAUGUCUGGGUAAGGACAGACUCUACGAAGCUAGGCGGUGGUGGGGGCGGUGCUUUCCCAGUCAUCCAUGCUCGAUACAUAUCUGGCACAUGUCUCAAUAUUUUUACCUCUUCUAGCAACCCGUUGUCCUGUUCAACCAGCUGUUUUCAGGCAUCAGUACCAGCCCACUCAGUUCUGUUGUUUUCUAUCAUUGUCGUAUGCCUUUGUAUUGCAAGAAAGCAUUACUUUUGAACAACAAACCAACCACCUUUCUUGAGUGACAUGCCAAAAUGAAACCAUCAUGUUAGCAUUAGGGCAUUUAACACAUUGGUAAUCACACAUCUGGGGAACGAAUGCACCUAAAUAGUUGAUAAUUUUUAUUUUGCGUCAUCCCGGCCUUUUCCCUGUUCCUAAUUGCAGAAAUUCUCUCUUUUCUUUUCUUCUCUUUUUCCUUCUUCUCUUUUUUCCUCUCUUUUCCUUUUUUCUCUUUUUUAUUUGGUUAUGCUUGAAUCCUAUGUGGAUUGCCUAUGUAUCAUGGUCCCGCAUAAAUCAGACCAAGUGUAGUUCGUUCAAAUAGAAGAUAAACAACAAUAAAAUAUUUUUUUGAUUUUUCAACUUUUCAUAAUAAAACAAACUUGCACUACUAGAAAAUGGGCCUAUGGGAACAGUUAUUUUGGCAACGGUUUGUAAAACGUUGCCAUAGAUAGAUAUAGUAACAAUUAAAACUGUUACAAUAGAAUUUGGGUGGUACCAGCACGCUUCAGACAUCAAACUAUUACAAUUGUAACAAAACCGUUGUCAUAAAUAUUUUUUUCGCAAAGGAUUUGUAAACCGUCCCACUAGACAUAUAUAUGGCAACGGUUGUGGGAGGGAAAAUUGCUAUGGGAACUGUUAGUCAUUCCCUAUAUUUUGUUCGCCGAAAAUUUGCUGGCCCGCCAAGCAAAUUCAAUGACCGGUCAUUUUAUGUUUUUAAUUAAUUUUAGUAACGUAAAUACAAUAAACCCUUCCACCUCUUGCGUAUCUUCAGUACUGUACCUCCCUCAUCAAUAUAUCCUAACUCAGCUCCAACGUCCAUACACCCAAUUCUCUUGAAGGGUAAUAACUUUAUUUAUUUAUCCUCUUUUAUAGGUGGAGUAUAUCAAGAAAUAGAUGAUGAUGAAGAUGAAGAACUAGAACUUACUUGAGAUGAAUUUUGAAUUGUUAUAGAUUAAUUUUCUAGAAAUCUUUUGUUACCAAUAUUUUUGAAACUUAUUUACUCUCUUGAAAUGUACUAAACUUAUGCACUCAUGGGGUAGAACAUUUCCUUUAUUGAUAUUAUUUACUUGAUUUAAUUUUGUAUUAUUAACAAUUUCAUUUUAUGAUGUAUUUAAAUUUUUUUGUUAUUAUAAUUUAUUAUAUGUAUAAAUAUUUAUAUAUAACAGGUGCUAUAUUUUGGUUUUAACUAAACUGAUAUAAUAGCCUAUAGGAACCGUUGCAAUAGGACACAAAUGGCAUUCCAGUAGAAAAAACCGUUGCAAUAGGUCCCAUAAAUUGUUCCAAAUACAAAAAUAACCGUUACGAUAGCCUAAAGAACCCGUUGCUAUAUUCAACAUAACCGUAGCAAUAGCUUAGAAAAGUGUUGCUUAAAAUGAUAUGGUAACGGAUAAGAACCGUUGUAUAAACAAUAUAGUAACGGUUUAAAACCGUUCCAAUUGAAAAAAUUAACCGAUCCAACAGAGAAAGGUACAACCGUUGCGAUAGAUAUAUCUAUUGUCACGGUGAUACAAACCGUUACAAGAACCGUUCCAGUAGACCUAUAGGUAUGCCGGCUGAUGUAACGGGCUUUAAACCAUUCCAAUAUCCCUAUGGCAAUGGUUUGGCAGUCUAUAGGAAUUAUAAACCGUUAGCGUAUACCAAUUUUUCAAUAGUGUUGAUUGCAAAGGUUUAAAAACUGACUAAACAACACACUUUGACGAAAAAGACGACGUACAGACUCGUAAAUCAAACAACACCACAUACUCUAAUUAAAUGAAUUACAAACCCCCAAAACAAACAGACAUAUUUCAUUUCCUAUUUGCCAAUUUCAACCAAAUAGCUAUUUUUGCAAACGUGGCCCCUUCAUUAAUUUUGAGGCCGGGAAGGAUUAUUAUAUGACACUUCACAAACUAGUUCGUUCUUUUACGAAAAUAGCCUUUCGACAACUGAAAGGUACUCUAAGGAUAUCUUAGCAAGAAAGAUUUAAGACACUGCUGAAGAUGGCUCGACUUAUUUUGACCAAAAUUCCAAGCGGUAUUCACUUGACCACAUGCUCUUUUUCUUGUUUUUUUUCAAAUUAAAAUAACAAACUUGAGUUUGCAAGCACGACCUUUCAACACCUCGGCGAUGAGGAUUAUAAAGUUGUGUUGGCUAACCGACCAAAAUCAAAAAAAUAACCAAAGGCGGCUAUUCUUGCAAAAGCAGCCUUCCGGCGUCCUUUUCCGAAACAUUCGACUAUUUCUAACAAGAACGGCUUCACCUGACUUAUUCAUGCCAAAAUUUAAAACUUAGACAUUUUUUAGCUAUUUUUGCAAAGGGGAGGUUGGACCCGAUGAGGGUUGCCUAUGUAUCUCACAUAUGGUAAGAAUCAUACCUGCGUAGCUCGGGCCAAUAAACUAACUACUUUCGAAAACAUGACUCUUUUUUAUUGACAAAUACACUCUUUUUUUCUUUUUCAACAAACUAUUUGAAUAUAAAACUCUUGUUUUUUUUCUUUUUACUGACAAAUAAAACAAUUAAUUUUUUUAAAACAAAUUUUCUUUUUCCUUUUUCCUUUUUUGUUCAUUUUCCUCAAAAAUUCGUCAAAGUUUCAACAGUAUUUGGGUAUUGGUUUUUUUCUAACAUAGGCAAUCAACUCUCUAUACUGUUAUAUCUCUCUUUUUCUCUUUUUUUUUAAUUUUGGAAUAUUCCAAAUAUUCAGAAGCCGGUCAGCAUGCAGGCCCGAAAAAAAUAAAUGCAAAACAAAUAGGAUGUAUCAGGAUGGUGUUUUUCAUUUCAGGUUGCUAGUCCUAGAUGGACCCAACCCCUGUGUUGAGUCCCCUAUGACAAAUGCAAAAUGAUGCAAAUAAGCGUUCCUAAUAGGGAUCUAGUAUGAAGUUAUGUUAAUCUAAGUUCAAAACCUGGGUAUAGGUCGUAGACUGUGUUCCCGAGCUGACAACUCGAGUCUAGGAGGGGGCAACGUACCGGGAACCAAAAGGCCAUCCGGCUUAGUAACUUGUCCGGCCUCUUUCUUAUUUUAGGGUAUUAUACUAACAGAAUAUGGAGUCUCAUCUAGUAAGCACAUCCCUGGAGGUGAGAAGAGAAGGGUGUCGGCACAGUUUAUAUACAGUUCAGAUAAUAUCAAAGCGGUAACAUUUAGCAUAUUUAGCACAAAAUAUGUAGGAAAAUCAGAUAUAACCAAAUACAACAAUUUAUCUAAGCUCGAAUUUUGAACCCUGAUCAAAACGUUCUGGGUUCUUCUCCCCAGCAGAGUUGCUAGAGCUGUCACACCUCCUUGUUCACUACACCCGCAAGGUCAUAAAGGAGUUUUUCCAAUAAAGGGCAAUCAGAACAGGAUUUAUUAUUAAUAUUCAGAGUCGCCACGUAGGAGAUAAAGGGUGUUCCAAGUCACCUGUUGAAUCCCGAACUGAGGAAAUAUGACUAUGUUAACAUUCCGCGAACCAAAAAUUCGUGUAAGGAAUUCUUUUAACCCGGGAGAAGGUGUUAGGCAUUUCCGGGUUUCGUGGUUCUACACGGUCCCUCAACUGUAAUAUUUGAUUUUUCUGAUUUCAAAACUUUUUCUAGCUUAUGUGCUUUUAAUCAUAAAUCGCUUUUAUAUUUAUUUUUAAUGAGAAUUACAACAUCGUGAAAAUACGUCUCAAACCACGUCACAUCAGUGCACGUGUGGUUGUUGACAUAUUUCGACUCCGUUGAGAUUUGAAAUUGGGUCAAAUAAAUGUGCAAUCGGGUUUAUAAAGGUAAUGUUAUUAAAGUGUGCUCCUAAAUAGACUAACGCAUUAUUCUCUUUAGGGAAAGCUGUGAAAUUACCUAAAUGGCCCACCCCGAAUUUUAAGUAUUUUAAUAUAUCUAUUUAUUGAGAGCCCCACAAUUUUGCUUUUUUAUUUGGCGAGGCUCAUCUCAUUUUUACUUAAAGGCCAUCCUUAAAGCAAUCUAUAUUUUCUAUUUUAUUUUGUAUCCAUAACAAAAGAAAGAAGCCUAGUUAAUUAAUAUAGUUGAAAAGGCCCACACCCUUAUUAAUCUAUCUCCAAUCAAUUAGAUCGAACAUCAUGAUAAGUAAAAAAAAGAACAAAGCAUUUUUAACAAUUUAUCUAAAACGGCCCAAAUCAUACAUAGAAGGGGGCAGAGUAUUAUUGGGCAUGUGAUGAUAAUUCCAUGCCCAUGAUAUGCUGGAACUGGAACGAGUAUCUUAAUUAAAGCUGAAGACAUAGAUGUUUGGGCCUGGUGUUCGAGCCCAGUAAAACAAAGUUCCAACGCCAACUUUCAGGUUCAAUUGCGUGAGCAAACACACUGGGCUACAUACACUUGUUCACUAAACUUGGCUAUGGGCAAUUACGUAGGCUACAAAUUCAUUACAGUUGUUCCUAUCUGAAUUUAAUUUCAACAUACGACUUGCGAAACCUCUACUCAAAAUUCCAAUUAACAAAUCAGUUUAUCACUCAAACUAUUUUUGUGUUACUACUAACGCCUAUAUCAUGGCCAUAGGUGACUGCUUUUUUUUUUUUUUUCAAUUAAACGGAAAUGGAAGCACUACUAAAUAAGUGCUCUAGUAAUUCCUGAUUUCAACAAUUAGAUCACUCGGACUAGCACAUUAAGAUACAAGACCAUUUGUCCUGUUUCUCUUGCAAUUACUGAGAAACAAAUCAAGCUACCCUACACUACACUAGUACUACAACUAAGCCAAAUUAAAGUUGCCAACUAUGAAAUCCAUAAGCUCAUCAGAAAGAGUUCAUCAGUCCACAAACUUAAACAGUCCAAAGUUAAUACAGUUUAAUGAGAAAACUAUCAAAUUACAGAAUUCUAUCUAAACGUGAUAGAGCCACUAGGAUCGCAAGUCAAUAGCAGAGGUUAAGCCUCAAUUUUAUUUCAUUUUCCAGUAAGAGAUCUACGUAGUACUGAGUUUUAUGACAAGUACCUCGAAAUAUAAUGAAUAUAAGGGGAAGUUAGCAGCAGAAGAGCAAUCAGCAGCAACAAAAAAACUCAGGAAACAUAAUCAACUACCAAGGAAAGUUUCAAAACCCAGUAGUUGAUCAAUCGACAUAGAAAAUUCAGGAAACAAUUUAAAAAUCCAGUGAUGGAUGGGCACAUCAAUGAUUCCACCACUGUAGCAACCAAAUAAACUCCAAAUUGAACUCAAAGUCUUCCGAAACUUUCUAUCAUACCAUCACUCAACCAAAACCGAUUUAUCUAACCCAAAUUUGCUCAAAAUCAAUCAACAACACCACUGAAACUUCAAAUUACCGAAAAUCAUACUGGAGAAAUGUAAAUCAAUAGCUAAAAAAUGAAAUUCCCCUAGAAUUUCAAUGGAACAGUAAUUUUUUUAGUUUUUUGAGUUUUUGGUUUGUUUUUUAUUUUUGAAAUUUGAAUUUCCACUUCAGAUCUGAUAGAUUAAAGAGAGAGAGCUUUGGGGNNNNNNNNNNNNNNNNNNNNNNNNNNNNNNNNNNNNNNNNNNNNNNNNNNNNNNNNNNNNNNNNNNNNNNNNNNNNNNNNNNNNNNNNNNNNNNNNNNNNNNNNNNNNNNNNNNNNNNNNNNNNNNNNNNNNNNNNNNNNNNNNNNNNNNNNNNNNNNNNNNNNNNNNNNNNNNNNNNNNNNNNNNNNNNNNNNNNNNNNNNNNNNNNNNNNNNNNNNNNNNNNNNNNNNNNNNNNNNNNNNNNNNNNNNNNNNNNNNNNNNNNNNNNNNNNNNNNNNNNNNNNNNNNNNNNNNNNNNNNNNNNNNNNNNNNNNNNNNNNNNNNNNNNNNNNNNNNNNNNNNNNNNNNNNNNNNNNNNNNNNNNNNNNNNNNNNNNNNNNNNNNNNNNNNNNNNNNNNNNNGGGGGAAUAGAUGGCUAAAAACUUGGGAGUGAAGGCAUUGAACACGCCAUUUUAUAGGCAUUAGGGAGGGUAACUCUCAAAUAUUUUGUUUGCCCUUUAGUCCUUCUUUUAUUUUCAAGAUAGUCUUCUACUUCUUCACUUGUGUUUUAAGUUAUCUUAUUACCUUUUCUGAUUUUCUAAAAUGAAUCAUAUUCUAGAAGGAUCUUGGACAUUCUAACUAAACCUAUAGCAUUCCAACCCACUUCAAAUUUCUACACUACCCCUGAACUUCCCUGAAACUACUGUAUUAUCCCAACCCCCUUUUAACCCAUCUGAAAAUAUAAUCAGCUAUAACAAAUAAGCAAACCUACCAAUUAACUAAUUAAUCCCAUUAAAUUAACUCAUAAGUAACACUAGAACACUCAAACUAAAUUUAAACCAAGGUCAGAUUUAUAUCAGACUCCAAACUUAACAGAACAAUAAUAUGACUCAAAUCAUCAAACUCAACAAUAGUUUAAAACUCUAACUCAAAUUAGAUCAAAACAAAGACAAAGGAUUCAAUGAUCAAAACAACAAUUAGAUGGAACUACUAAGGUCAAAUUUUAAACCACGAUUGACACAACUACAUUGGGAAAAAAUCACGAUUCUGAAUUAACCCCCAAAACCAAACGAAUAAACACUGGAUAUGUAAUGAAAGGAAAAUAAACAUAAAUGAAAAACUUACUUAUUUCGGAAUUUAGACAUAGCCUAAUUUUGAAAUGGAUCUUCAAAUAAUGAUAUGUGUUUGCUCUUACCAAGAACAAACACAUAGCAUCAUUCUAAGACCCCUUCAACCACUAGCCGACUCAGGAAACUCGAACAGAUGAAGAUUUCCCAAAACUCCACAAUUUGAACCUUAGAUCCAAAAUUCAGAGAGAUCCGGUGGAAUUCGAAGGAGAUUAGUUGAGGAUUUAGGAAGAGAGAAGUGAGGAGAGUGCGUGGUAUAUUUUUGGGCAGGUUCCGAUGACUUUAGGGUUUUGGCCGAAUAUAUGCAUAAAUAUUAUAUUAGAUUACAAUGAUUCGAGGGAUAUUAUCAUGGAUAUAGAGUGAGGGGAACAAGGAGAGUUAGGGUGUUAUUUUGGGGCGUAUUGGCAGUGGUGACGCCGUAGGCGGCGGAGACAGCAGUGACAAAACCAAAUAUUCGAGCAGAUCAGGCAUGAUAUGAGUUUUGUAAAUUUGGGUCUUGGGAAGAGAAAGUGGCAAGAAAUCCAUAGUGUAAUUUUCAGGCCAUUUGGAGACUUGCCGCUGGUGGAGGCGAUUUUCGGUCGGUGGCGUUAGGGUUGGGUUUCUGAUUUUGUGAGAGAGAUGAUACGGGGGAGUGAGGCUAUCUGACAUUAUUAUACCAAUAAAUGUCCAGUUCUGGGCCAUUGAUUAAGUGAACCUCGACGGCUGAGAUUCAAAGGGGCAAAAUGGCGUCGUUUAUUGAGGGGGAAAGACCGAAGCGGG
rnacentral:lncRNA from 1 species